rnacentral:pre_miRNA from 1 species
AUACCAUUGAUCCAAAACCCAGUGAAGUCAAUGGGAGUCUUUCCACUGACGUCAGUGGGCUUUGGAUCAGGCCCAAU